GGAGUGGGUAUAGCUCAGUGGUUGAGCGCCUGCCUCCCAUGCUUGAGGUCCUGGGUUCGAUCCCCAGUACCUCCU
rnacentral:tRNA from 1 species